GACGAACGCUGGCGGCGUGCUUAACACAUGCAAGUCGAACGGUGAAGGGACCGGUUUUUGCUGGUUCUGGAUGAGUGGCGAACGGGUGAGUAACACGUGAGUAACCUGCCCCCUUCUUCUGGAUAACCGCAUGAAAGUGUGGCUAAUACGGGAUAUUCUGCGCCUGCUGCAUGGUGGGUGUGGGAAAGAUAUUGUUUCGGUGGGGGAUGGGCUCGCGGCCUAUCAGCUUGUUGGUGGGGUGAUGGCCUACCAAGGCGGUGACGGGUAGCCGGCCUGAGAGGGUGGACGGUCACACUGGGACUGAGACACGGCCCAGACUCCUACGGGAGGCAGCAGUGGGGAAUAUUGCACAAUGGGCGCAAGCCUGAUGCAGCGACGCCGCGUGAGGGAUGGAGGCCUUCGGGUUGUAAACCUCUUUCGCCAGUGAAGCAGGCCUGUCCC
rnacentral:rRNA from 1 species